UUUCAAGUAGGAACUAGCUUCCUGAUUUCACUUUCUUUCCUCUUGUGAUCUGAUUCUCUUUAUGAAUAAGGGCUUCAUCACUCUUCAUUCUUAUAUGACUGCAAGAUUUUUCACUGUAGCCAACUGAUGGCCACACAAGACAUCCUGUGAGCUUGUCCUGACCAUUUCUCAGCUGAAGGUGGGGUGAAGUGGUGGAGAUUCUCCAGCAUGCUUGGCAGCCAGCUUGGAGGUUGCUGUUUGCAAGAGAAGGGAAUGUGCCAGCUUUUGCAGAUCUGUACUUGCAGGAGAAGACCUAGACCUGUGAGGCAGCACCCUACCAUCCGGCUCCUGGCUGGCACCCAGACGCUAUGUGCAGACCAUGGCAGAACUACUUGGUGUGAUACCACAGCUCUCCUGCUCAGUCAGUUGAAAUAA
rnacentral:lncRNA from 1 species